UACAGAGGGGGCAAGCGUUGUUCGGAAUUACUGGGCGUAAAGGGCGCGUAGGCGGCCUGUUAAGUCGAACGUGAAAUCCCCGGGCUCAACCCGGGAACUGCGUCCGAUACUGGAUGGCUUGAGUUCGGGAGAGGGAUGCGGAGUUCCAGGUGUAGCGGUGAAAUGCGUAGAUAUCAGGAGGAACACCAACGGCGAAGGCAGCUCGCUGGGACGGUACUGACGCUGAGGCGCGAAAGCGUGGGGAGCGAACAGG
rnacentral:rRNA from 1 species